GGGUCGAUGGCGUAGUUGGUUAUCGCAUCUGUCUAACAUAGGGUACGAAGACUACCAUUUGUGCCCAGAAGGUCCUCAGUUCGAACCUGGGUCGACUCA